GACGAACGCUGGCGGCGUGCCUAAUACAUGCAAGUCGAACGAGAGCAACCGGUGCUUGCACUGGUCAAUCUAGUGGCGAACGGGUGAGUAACACGUGGGUAACCUGCCCAUCAGAGGGGGAUAACAUCCGGAAACGGAUGCUAAAACCGCAUAGGUCUUCGAACCGCAUGGUUGGAAGAGGAAAAGAGGCGCAAGCUUCUGCUGAUGGAUGGACCCGCGGUGCAUUAGCUAGUUGGUGAGGUAACGGCUCACCAAGGCCGUGAUGCAUAGCCGACCUGAGAGGGUGAUCGGCCACAUUGGGACUGAGACACGGCCCAAACUCCUACGGGAGGCAGCAGUAGGGAAUCUUCCGCAAUGGACGCAAGUCUGACGGAGCAACGCCGCGUGAGUGAAGAAGGUUUUCGGAUCGUAAAACUCUGUUGUUAGAGAAGAACAAGUGCUAGAGUAACUGUUAGCGCCUUGACGGUAUCUAACCAGAAAGCCACGGCUAACUACGUG
rnacentral:rRNA from 1 species